AUACGUAGGUGGCGAGCGUUGUCCGGAAUUACUGGGCGUAAAGCGCACGCAGGCGGUUUGUUAAGUCAGAUGUGAAAUCCCCGGGCUCAACCUGGGAACUGCAUCUGAUACUGGCAAGCUUGAGUCUCGUAGAGGGGGGUAGAAUUCCAGGUGUAGCGGUGAAAUGCGUAGAGAUCUGGAGGAAUACCGGUGGCGACGGCGCCUCCCGCGACGAACAUGGACGCGCGAGUGCGAAUGCGGGGGGAGCAAACAGGAGUUGAUUCAGUGGUAGUCCACUCCGUAAAAGAUGUCGACUUGGAGGUUGUGCCCUUGAGGCGUGGCUUCCGGAGCUAACGCAUUAAGUGAACCGCCUGGGGAGUACGGCCGCAAGGUUAAAACUCAAAUGAAUUGACGGGG
rnacentral:rRNA from 1 species